rnacentral:snoRNA from 1 species
UUGCUAUGAUGAAACUUCAGUUUAUUGAUGACAUUCGUAGAAUGCUUGGUGAUACUUCGGCAUUCACGUCGAACCUGAGCGGUUAACUGAGCAA